GACGAACUGUCCUAACGUUGUUCGGAAUCACUGGGCUUAAAGGGCGCGUAGGCGGUCCGAUAAGUCGGGGGUGAAAUCCUGCAGCUUAACUGCAGAAGUGCCUUCGAUACUGUCGGUCUUGAGGGAGAUAGGGGUGUGCGGAACUUCCAGUGGAGCGAUGAAAUGCGUUGAUAUUGGAAGGAACGCCGGAGGCGAAAGCGGCGCACUGGAUCUCUUCUGACGCUGAGGCGCGAAAGCUAGGGGAGCAAACGGG
rnacentral:rRNA from 1 species